GACGAACGCUGGCGGCGUGCUUAACACAUGCAAGUCGAACGAAGUGGCGAACGGGUGAGUAAUACGUGGGUAACCUGCCCUCCUUUUUGGGAUAAGCCUUGGAAACGGGGUCUAAUACCGAAUAAAGGGGGAUGGGCGCGCGGCUUAUCAGCUUGUUGGUGGGGUGAUGGCCUACCACGGCGGUGCCGGGUAGCCGGCCUGAGAGGGGGACCGGCAAGAUUGCGACUGAGAUACGGCCCAGACUCCUACGGGAGGCGGGAGUGGGGGAUAGUGCACAAUGGGCGAAAGCCUGAGGCAGCGACGCCGCGUGGGGGAUGAAGGUUUUCGGGUUGUAAACCUCUGUGGAUAUCGAAAGGGUAGGUGGAGAAGAAGCGCCGGCUAACUACGUGCCAGCAGCCGCGGUAAUAC
rnacentral:rRNA from 1 species